rnacentral:rRNA from 1 species
AUUGAACGCUGGCGGCAGGCCUAACACAUGCAAGUCGAACGGUAACAGAAAGCAGCUUGCUGCUUUGCUGACGAGUGGCGGACGGGUGAGUAAUGUCUGGGAAACUGCCUGAUGGAGGGGGAUAACUACUGGAAACGGUAGCUAAUACCGCAUAACGUCGCAAGACCAAAGAGGGGGACCUUCGGGCCUCUUGCCAUCGGAUGUGCCCAGAUGGGAUUAGCGAGUAGGUGGGGUAACGGCUCACCUAGGCGACGAUCCCUAGCUGGUCUGAGAGGAUGACCAGCCACACUGGAACUGAGACACGGUCCAGACUCCUACGGGAGGCAGCAGUGGGGAAUAUUACACAAUGGGCGCAAGCCUGAUGCAGCCAUGCCGCGUGUAUGAAGAAGGCCUUCGGGUUGUAAAGUACUUUCAGCGGGGAGGAAGGGAGUAAAGUUAAUACCUUUGCUCAUUGACGUUACCCGGAGAAGAAGCACCGGCUAACUCCGUG